rnacentral:rRNA from 1 species
AUUGAACGCUGGCGGCAGGCCUAACACAUGCAAGUCGAGCGGAUGAAGCGAGCUUGCUCCUGGAUUCAGCGGCGCACGGGUGAGUAAUGCCUAGGAAUCUGCCUGGUAGUGGGGGAUAACGUCCGGAAACGGGCGCUAAUACCGCAUACGUCCUGAGGGAGAAAGUGGGGGAUCUUCGGACCUCACGCUAUCAGAUGAGCCUAGGACGGAUUAGCUAGUUGGUGGGGUAAAGGCCUACCAAGGCGACGAUCCGUAACUGGUCUGAGAGGAUGAUCAGUCACACUGGAACUGAGACACGGUCCAGACUCCUACGGGAGGGAGCAGUGGGGAAUAUUGGACAAUGGGCGAAAGCCUGAUCCAACCAUGCCGCGUGUGUGAAGAAGGUCUUCGGAUUGUAAAGCACUUUAAGUUGGGAGGAAGGGCAGUAAGUUAAUACCUUGCUGUUUUGACGUUACCAACAGAAUAAGCACCGGCUAACUUCGUG